AGACCGAUAGCGAACAAGUAGAGUGAUCGAAAGAUGAAAAGCACUUUGAAAAGAGGGUUAAAUAGUACGUGAAAUUGUUGAAAGGGAAGCGCUUGUGACCAGACUUGGGCCCGGUGGAUCAUCCAGCGUUCUCGCUGGUGCACUCCGCCGGGUUCAGGCCAGCAUCAGUUCGCCGCGGGGGAAAAAGGCUUCGGGAACGUGGCUCCUACGGGAGUGUUAUAGCCCGUUGCAUAAUACCCUGGGGCGGACUGAGGUUCGCGCUCCGCAAGGAUGCUGGCGUAAUGUCAUCAGCGACCCGUCUUGAAACACGGACCAAG
rnacentral:rRNA from 1 species